AUGCUCAAAAUUCUCCACGCCAGGCUUCAGCAAUACGUGAACCAUGAAUUUCCAGAUGUUCAAGCUGGUUUUAGAAAAGGCAGAGGAACCAGAGAUCAAAUUGCCAAUAUCCACUGGAUCAUGGAAAAAGCAGGAGAGUUCCAGAAAAACAUCUAUUUCUGCUUUAUUCACUAUGCCAAAGCCUUUGACUGUGUGGAUCACAAUAAACUGUGGAAAAUUCUGAAAGAGAUGGGAAUAUCAGACCACCUGACUCACCUCUUGAGAAAUCUGUAUGCAGGUCAGGAAGCAACAGUUAGAACUGGACAUGGAACAACAGACUGGUUCCAAAUAGGAAAAGGAGUAUGUCAAGGCUGUAUAUUGUCACCCUGCUUAUUUAACUUCUAUGCGGAGUACAUCAUGAGAAACAGUGGGCUGGAAGAAGCACAAGCUGGAAUCAAGAUUGCUGGGAGAAAUAUCAAUUACCUAAGAUAUGCAGAUGACACCACCCUUAUGGCAGAAAGUGAAGAGGAACUAAAAAGCCUCUUGAUGAAAGUGAAAGAGGAGAGUGAAAAAGUUGGCUUAAAGCUCAGCAUUCAGAAAACGAAGAUCAUGGCAUCUGGUUGCAUCACUUCAUGGGAAAUAGAUGGGGAAACAGUGGCAGACUUUAUUUUUGGGGGCUCCAAAAUCACUGCAGAUAGUGAUUGCAGCCAUGAAAUUAAAAGACGCUUACUCCUUGGAAGAAAAGUUCUGACCAACCUAGACAGCAUAUUGAAAAGCAGAGAUACUACUUUGCCAACAAAGGUCCAUCUAGUCAAGGCUAUUGUUUUUCCAGUGGUCUUGUAUGAAUGUGAGAGUUGGACUGUGAAGAAAGCUGAGCACCGAAGAAUUGAUGCUUUUGAGCUGUGGUGUUGGAGAAGAGUCUUGAGAGUCCCUUGGACUGCAAGGAGAUCCAACCAAUCCAUUCUAAAGGAUAUCAGCCCUGGGACUUCUUUGGAAGGAAUGAUGCUAAAGCUGAAACUCCAGUACUUGGCCACCUCAUGCAAAGAGCUGACUCAUUGGAAAAGACUCUGA
rnacentral:lncRNA from 1 species